UGUGGUUAUUCAGGGACUAGAUUGAAGAUGAUGGACUUCUUGCUUGUGUCUGGGGUUUCAAAUUACUAUCUUGCUUUUUCAGGUAUUCAGAGGAACUGAUUUACGGACAUUUGGGCAGUUUGCUGAUGGGGUGGAGCAAGGGUUUUAUGGACUAUGAUGGCAACUGUAAUAAGAGAAGAAAAUUCACACAAAGCCCGAAUAGAUCAACUAAUCUGACAGAAAGGUAUUAUACCAAUAACGUAGAGACUGCUGAAUGGGUUGAUGGUAGGAUCGGAUUGCAGUGUACCCUGUUUGAAGGUAUUUCGCUGUACACUGUUUGAAGGUAUUUCGCUGGUGAAGUCCGAAGUAGCUUGUGUGAAAUAUGAUAAUAGGAACCUUUGUUCAAUGUUGCGGUGUUUGGAGCCCAACAUAGAGAGUCUGAGAAAGAAAAUCUGUGAAAUUGAACAGUCCUUAUCUGACAUGAAGGUUGGUGCUGUGGAAUCUAUUGUUGUCAAUGUUAUUAAAGUUCUGAAGACAACAAGUUUAAACACUAUGCCUCAGGUAGCGGAAAAGGUACUAGAAUUCAAGGAGGAAAUAGAUGGCCAUAAUUUGUGGACAAACAUCACUAAGGAGAAGGAAUCGAGAAAGUUAUGUCCAUGCACCCCAAUAGCUACUGAUGGCCUUCUGCACAUGAAAAUUUCUAACAAAGUUCCACACGAGAAGGUUGAUCAUAUGACACAUGAGAAGGUGACAGAAUCGGCCGACAAAAAAACUUUGACGGGCUUCAACGACUCAAAGGUUAAAAACAAAAACGAUGACAGAUUUCCGUCAAUGAGAAAUCUUUCAUAGGACUCAAAGAUGUUGAAAUUCCUAUUUGACAAGGGAGACAACGGAGUUGAUGAUCCC